GACGAACGCUGGCGGCGUGCCUAAUACAUGCAAGUAGAACGCUGAAGAGAGGAGCUUGCUCUUCUUGGAUGAGUUGCGAACGGGUGAGUAACGCGUAGGUAACCUGCCUUGUAGCGGGGGAUAACUAUUGGAAACGAUAGCUAAUACCGCAUAACAAUGGAUGACACAUGUCAUUUAUUUGAAAGGGGCAAUUGCUCCACUACAAGAUGGACCUGCGUUGUAUUAGCUAGUAGGUGAGGUAACGGCUCACCUAGGCGACGAUACAUAGCCGACCUGAGAGGGUGAUCGGCCACACUGGGACUGAGACACGGCCCAGACUCCUACGGGAGGCAGCAGUAGGGAAUCUUCGGCAAUGGGGGCAACCCUGACCGAGCAACGCCGCGUGAGUGAAGAAGGUUUCGGAUCGUAAAGCUCUGUUGUAAGUCAAGAACGAGUGUGAGAGUGGAAGUUCACACUGUGACGGUAGCUUACCAGAAAGGACGGC
rnacentral:rRNA from 1 species